GGACACAGUACUCCAGAAGAGGAGCCAGGGGAACAUGUGGGGACUCUACAGGGGGGUGCGGGAUGUGCAGGGACACCCCCCUGCUCCCUCUCCCCUGGGGCACCCCAAGCCCGAGCCCCAGUGGCAGGGGUCCCUCCCACCCCAGGGCCCAUGACUCACCACCCCCAGCGCAAUGUCUGCGGGCA